rnacentral:rRNA from 1 species
UACGGGAGGCAGCAGUGGGGAAUAUUGCACAAUGGGCGAAAGCCUGAUGCAGCUAUGCCGCGUGUAUGAAGAAGGCCUUAGGGUUGUAAAGUACUUUCAUCGGGGAGGAAAAAACAAAACUAAUAAUUUUAUUUCUUGACGUUACCCGAAAAAGAAGCACCGGCUAACUCCGUGCCAGCAGCCGCGGUAAUACGGAGGGUGCUAGCGUUAAUCAGAAUUACUGGGCGUAAAGAGCACGUAGGUGGUUUUUUUAAGUCAGAUGUGAAAUCCCUGGGCUUAAACCUGGAAACUGCAUUUUGAAACUGAAAUACUAGAGUAUCGUAGAGGGAGGUAGAAUUCUAGGUGUAGCGGUGAAAUGCGUAGAUAUCUGGAGGAAUACCUGUGGCGAAAGCGGCCUCCUAAACGAAUACUGACACUGAGGUGCGAAAGCGUGGGGAGCAAACAGGAUUAGAUACC